rnacentral:rRNA from 1 species
CGUGUAGCAAUACACGAGUGGCGCACGGGUGAGUAACGCGUGGGAACCUACCUAAAGGUACGGAAUAACCAACCGAAAGGAUGGCUAAUACCGUAUACACCCUCCGGGGGAAAGAUUUAUCGCCUUUAGACGGGCCCGCGUCGGAUUAGCUAGUUGGUGAGGUAAUGGCUCACCAAGGCUACGAUCCGUAGCUGGUCUGAGAGGAUGAUCAGCCACACUGGAACUGAGACACGGUCCAGACUCCUACGGGAGGCAGCAGUGGGGAAUAUUGGACAAUGGGGGCAACCCUGAUCCAGCCAUGCCGCGUGAGUGAUGAAGGUCUUAGGAUUGUAAAGCUCUUUCGGCGGGGAAGAUGAUGACGGUACCCGCAGAAGAAGCCCCGGCUAACUUCGUGCCAGCAGCCGCGGUAAUACGAAGGGGGCUAGCGUUGUUCGGAAUUACUGGGCGUAAAGGGCGUGUAGGCGGCUUGCAAAGUCGGGCGUGAAAGCCCCGGGCUCAACCCGGGAAUUGCGUUCGAUACUGGCGAGCUAGAGUUCGGGAGAGGGUCGUGGAAUUCCCAGUGUAGAGGUGAAAUUCGUAGAUAUUGGGAAGAACACCAGUGGCGAAGGCGGCGACCUGGACCGAUACUGACGCUAAGGCGCGAAAGCGUGGGGGAGCAAACAGGAUUAGAUACCCUGGUAGUCCACGCUGUAAACGAUGAGUGCUAGACGUUGGGGGACCUAGUUUCCCAGUGUCGCAGCUAACGCAUUAAGCACUCCGCCUGGGGAGUACGGCCGCAAGGUUAAAACUCAAAGGAAUUGA